rfam:Tupaia chinensis contig116408, whole genome shotgun sequence.
AGAAUCCAGUUGGGGUUGGCUGGCUCCGGAGCUGCGUGAGGUGGGCACACAAAACCAAAAGGCGAAGUUGGAAAA